rfam:Pelodiscus sinensis unplaced genomic scaffold scaffold4580, whole genome shotgun sequence.
GGUCCUAUGGUGUAAGAUGCAGCGCUCAGGACUCUGAAUCCUGGAAUCUGAGUUCAAAUCUCAGUGGGACCU